rnacentral:rRNA from 1 species
AUACCGGCUGCUCGAGUGAUGGCCACUAUUACUGGGUUUAAAGCGUCCGUAGCUUGACUGUUAGGUCUCUUGGGAAAUCUUCACGCUCAACGUGAAGGCGUCUAAGAGAUACCGGCAGUCUUGGAACUGGGAGAGGUAAACCGUACUUCGGGGGUAGGAGUGAAAUCUUGUAAUCCUCGAGGGACGACCUAUGGCGAAGGCAGUUUACCAGAACAGCUUCGACAGUGAGGGACGAAAGCUGGGGGAGCAAACGGGAUUAGAUACCCCGGUAGUCCCAGCCGUAAACAAUGUGCGUUAGGUGUGUCGGUAACCACGUGUUACUGAUGCGCCGAAGAGAAAUCGUGAAACGCACCACCUGGGAAGUACGGUCGCAAGGCUGAAACUCAAAUGAAUUGGCGGGG